rnacentral:lncRNA from 1 species
GACACAUUUAAAUAUGUAAAGCUGGAGUUUAUUGUUGUCAAGGCUAACAGUUGUGAGUCCUUAACAGUUAUCCUGAUGUUUCUUAUUCUUAAUUGCUUGUUCUAACAUUAGUUCUCUUCCUUUAAAGGAAAUCCUUCUUGUUUUUUUUCUUUCUUUCUUUCUUUUUUCCUCCCCUUACCUACGGAGCUCUAGCAUCCUGACAUAGAAACCAAGCUGUGCACCUGAAUAGAGCAGAGUGGGCAUGGGAGAGGGCAGUUUCUGUGGCUUGAGCACACCCUCUCACCGACUCUGAUUUCAGGAGCUAUCACGCGUGGGAAGGGACAUGAGUUCAGCCGCCUGUCAUAUUUUAGAAAGGGGGACACAGUGUUAGAAAAUAUGGUUCAAAAAAAAAAAAACAAAGAAAAUAUGGUUCAGUUGCUUUGAAAGAGACAGCUUGAUGGAAGUUGCAUUUAUAUUAUAAAAUAAGGAGAUCGAUUGCUUAUUUUGAGGGAUUCUCUUUAGAGUAUUAAUAAUUUCCAAAAUGUUGUCUUUGUCCUCAGGGAAUAGAACAAACUAGAGGGAACAAGGCAGGCUUUCUAAUGAAUUCGGCGGUUAGCAGGAACGCGCAGGCCAUGUGGAGCUGGCGUCAGGGAUACAGAAGCACAGAAGGUCGUGACCUUGGAGACCUUUCAGAAACCACACAUUGAGCUCUGUCCCAAGCACCCAAGAACAGCAAAUGAGAAGGACUCGACGGCUGUGUAAUGCCAACGAUCACCAUUCAGACCUUCUUCUCUGCCUGAGAGCUGAGCCUGGGCCUUUGGCAGAGUGGAUGAAGCCACUGCUCUGUCUUCUUUCUUCUUCACGGCUCUGUCCCUGGGGGUGACUUCACUGCCUGGUACGUAGAAAGAAAUCAUGAAUAUUUGUCUAAAGCUUUUAUUUAAAAAUAACUGCAAGGCCUGAGUUAGAUAUUCGGUGAGUCUCUUAGAUACUCCCUACAGGCGGCAUGACACAGGGGUCGCUCUGUGCUCUGUCCUGUGCUCUGCACAUGUGCGUUGCUGAGAGAAGAACCUUUAGGAAAGAGAGUGGCUCGGCUGCAGCAAGGGGAGCACAGGCUGUGAUCACACUCAUCUCAGGUCUGCCCUGGUGAAGCAAGA